CAGUCUCGGGAACCUCUGGGAAUUGGCUCAUCAUGUAGCAAACCGCCUAGUAGGAAAACCUAGCUUGGGGGCCAGGCUCGGCUGGGAAAAUGAAGUUAAAUGAAACUCUGUCUGCAGCUAAAACCGUGCUGUCCCUCGCUGACUCCACCUGGUUGACGCCACUGUUGAAUGGAAAGAAGACACUCUCUUGGAAAAGGAAAUUUGCUUAAUGGCAGUACAAAGAGAGUUUGGCCUUGGUGUCUGGUUGUCCAGUCCAAGAGGGUGAAGAUAUCCUUAGGACAAUAGAAGAGAAAGCCCAUUUGCCAUGCUGAUGGCGGCCAUCCCUCAAGGUGGCACAACCACUCUGGAAUCUGAUGGGACCACAACAGAACUAGAAACAAAUGGAACCUUGAAUAGCACCCCAGUAGGAGUGAUGGCCUCCAGAAGACAAACAAGAAUAAAGUGAGGACUUCAGCCCAGGCUGUUAUGUUCGCCAAGAUUCCUAGUCCAUCAGAGUCCAGUGAGAAGAAAAGCUGCAAAUCUGAUGGCUUAAACAUGCUUCUGUGGAGGUGGAUACAUAACUUACUUCUCCGUUCCUUUAAGGGAGUGGUCACUACCAGGAAAAGUAGAUAAAUUGGUUUUGUAGAAAAGUUGGCUUAGAGGUGUGAACUUGAACUUUUGUUUACUCUAAAAACAAUCAAAUCACCUUUUGCUAAAUUUUAACCACUGGUCUUUGUUGUUGACUUUAUACAUUUUUAUGUUCCUUGUCAAGACUGAGUCAAAAGUGAAUGGUUGUUCUUGCUUGGGUCUUCAAGGGCAGAGCUAUUCUUAGCUCACGCUGACAGCAGAAAUUGGACCACCCUUGCCUUUUCAUCUUACUUAAUUCCUUCCCAGAGAAGAAAAAAAUAAUACUCUUGAUCGAGCAUGAUGCUGAUAAAUAGUGUGAUGAUGAUGAUGAUAAUUAACCUAUGAUUGCUUUAUAUCAUUCCAAGAACUGUUUUAUAUGCUUUAGAAUCACACAUUCCUCUUAGUCAUUAUAACACAAUUUGAUUAUUGCCCUCCUCCCCCCAGUUUCUAAAGAAACUGAGGUUCACCAAGGUUAGGCAGCUCACUCACAUUAAGAUGUUUAGCAGGCUUAAACAUAAAACAUUCAGACCUUAGAUUCUAUGAAUUUCAUAAUCUCUCUCCCUCUACAGAACUGUCUUCUUGCUUCACAGCAGUUUCCCAGAAUUAAGGUGAUAUCACCUCACUCACAUAGAAGCAAGCAAAAGCUGUAUGAGCUGGUGAGUGUUGGGCUUGUAUAUUAGUCUAGUCACAUGACCUGGACUGGGUCUUGGAAAUAUUGUCAUAUGAUAAAAUUGUCUCUGAGAUAUAGAAGAAAGGUAAUGGACCAAAGUCGGAUUCUGCUCUGUGUGAGCUGUGGCUCCUUGGGUACAACUCUUCACACCUUUGCUCUGGUUUUCUAAGAAAAUUCUUGGGCUGAGAAAUCUCAGAUGAUGCUCUCCUUAUAAAUUGCCCCUGCCAGAAACCCAAUUAGGAAAUAAUUAUUGAAAAAGCAAGGGCAGUUUGAACAGGGUUUUUGCACAUUGAAAAAGAAUGAGGGGGGUGGGGCAGCCUUACCAGGCCACAGAGGAAGACAAAGCAGCCAGUCCUGAUGAGACCUGAUAGGCUAGGGUCAGAUGCAAGGGGAGGAGGACCUCUCCUAUUAAUGGACUUGGAGAGGGGUAUGAGAGAAGAUGAGGGAGGCAGGGUGAGAUUGGGAGGGAAUGAGGAAGGGGAUUAGAGCUGGGAUACAAGGUGAAUAAACUGUAAUUAAUAUAAAAAGAAAAAUAAUGAGUAGAGAGUUUUUUGAGUGUUCUAGAGCUCUGAAGACAUUAGGUCUAGUUGCCUUCUUUUUUGUGUGUAUUUUGUUUUGUGCUAUGGACCUGAAGCUAGUGAACAUUACUUAUGGAUAUUCCUGAAUGCUCAAAGAACUUUCAAGACAGAGUGAAGGCUUAUUUAGCAAGGAGAACGUUAUAGAAGGCCAAAAGAGCAGAGGAUAAGGAGAUGUGUGAGGACUUCUCAUUGUUUUCAUUCUAGAAUUUCCGUCCUGUGUAUGGAUAUCAAUUCAGAGGGCCUUUCUUGAAAGUCUUUGGAAACGUGUGGGCAGUUCUGCAUCAACAUAGCUAGAAAACUCCAUUUGCAUGUUUUGAGUUGAUAUUAUAGUAACUAAAACAGAGUUGGACCCUGUAAUUGUUAUGGCAGUAUUAUUUAGCCUGCUAUCACAAUUAAUAAACAUAGACAUCUGUUAAAUUUUAUAAUUGCCUUUGCCUUGGGCUGGGCAGAUAUUUUCACCUACACUAUCUCAAUAACCUCCCCAUCCAUCUCCCAGUCCCCAUCCAAUGCCAUCUACCUUAACCAUUUCUAUCUGGGCUACCUUCCACCCUAUUCUUAUAAAUACUUGCAUAUAUGUAUAUAUAUGUAUAUAAUCUUGUUAUUUUCUCCAUCCAUGCCAUUCUUGCAGUCCUUCCUCCUGUCCCACAUGGUUCCUUCUCCACACUAACCCAUCAUGGUACCAUCCUUUCUCCUCUCUUCCCAUCUAUCUAUCUCCUUCCUGCAAUUCCCUUUCCUCAAAAGCUGAGAACCUUAGCCACACCUAUCUCCUUCUGCCCUGCCCAAAUACAGGUCUUUUUUAAAAAUUAACCAAUCAGGAAUAAUUUCUUUACACAAGGAUAGGUGUAUCCGGGCAGAUCUUGAGGGCCAGUUAUUAGCAUUAAAAUACAAAUAUCAGACCAACCCUCCAACAUGUGGAGAAUGCUAAAACUACAAUUCUUGGAUCCUUCAUACACAAUGAAGAAUUAUCCCAUCCCAAAUGUACUUAGAUCUCUGACCAAGAAAGAACUAAAGAGGAUUUGCAUAGUUGAAAACAUGGUGAACCUUUUGAUGCAUUUUUCUGAACAUUAAUCAAUAAAUUAUCCAUUAACUCGAGAAACCUGAAUACUGCCCCAGAAGAUUCCAAACAAAUGGACAGCUCUGUUUAGAACUGUGGAACUCCUGUGUGUCAUUUCCUUAGGCUUCACUGUUCCCAUCUUUACAGUAUUAACACCCUUUGUCUUCCUAAGUUCUCUUUCUAGAAAAAAAAAAUCCUGUGUGAAAAAAACUGAGGUUUAGAAAUUCUUUUACUUUGUGUAUGGCCAACAUGUUACUGCCUUUAACCAAAAUGCAUAAGUCAAAACCAAAAGUAAACAGAACAGGCCAUAUGCAUAUAUGGAAAUGCCACAGUGGAACCUUUAAUGUAUGCAAGUUGUAUGCAGAAAUAAUUAUAAUAAUACAUACAAGGUGAUUCAUGCCUGUAAUCUAGCCUGUGGGAAGCAGAAAGAUCAUAAGUUUGAGGUCAACACGAGCUACAUAGUAAUUUUAGUUAGUCCAUCUUCGGCUACAUGAAAAGACUAUCCAAAACAACAACAAUAGUAAACAACAACAAAAAGCGAACGUGACUGUGAUCUCAGAUGACAAUGUAUGAUCUUAACUUUUGUGUUUUUUUCAGAAGCAUGUAUGACUAUUUGAAUUUUAUCAGGUCCAAGCACUCUGCUCAUGAACUACCUUAGGACAGAAGUCUAUUCUAAAAAGAAAGGUUAUUUGGACUAAAGCAAGGAUAAUUCUAAACUAUGGGCAGAAUAAAAAUAAUUUAGCUAAAAUUUAUAUUGGGUGGAGCAUGGAAGAGCAAUGGCUCUCAGAGAUGCUGUCACAGUGCGAAGCUGGGUCACUGAGGUAGGAAACAGAGAACAUGAUGCCUCUUCUUUCUUCUGCCUGAUGCCCACGUGAGUUACUCCAAAGACAGUUCCUAGCAGCCAGGAGAAAGCCUUAACUGUCCUUUUAAUUUUCCUUUCUGUUAAAAUUUCAUGUUUCUGCUUUGGUUUAAGAUUGUGAAAUUAAGUGGAAAAUCAUACAACGAGACUGUGAAAGCUUCAGAAACUUGGACUGUGUGUUGUUAGAUUUUGGGCUUUUGUCCUUUGUCUUACCCUCUGGAAGGCUUCUGUUUCAUUUUUGUUUCACUUUAUACUCUCAUUCUGGAAGAACUAAGUGUGUUCUGUUGCUGCUGUGACUUGUGGCCUCUCUUACACCCCUUAGUUUCAGUAGGAAUGGUGACUCAAGAAGCAAAGAAUUUGACCCCAGAAAAUAGCAAGGAGAUGAGAGAACUGGCUCUGCCUAUAGGAUUAAUGCCCUUUGGAUCUAGGGCAAGGGUGAGUUUUGACAGUUUUGGAGCUGCGCUUUAGCUGGGCCUCACAUGUGGCAGUGCCCCCACUGUUCUGGGCAAUGGAGGCAGGAGCCUCAAAGCUCUGGCUUUUUCCAUCUUCCUACCUCCUCAUCAUUCAGAUGAGGAAUCAGAACCCUGGAACUCCAGUAAUAUUCUAAAGAACAUAUAUUUUGUAUUCUACCUUGUGCCUGUUUCCAAAUUGUUCAUUGUGUGAUUCCUAAUUUAUGGCGUCUAUAAAAUAAAUCUUGGAUAAUUCUUACCUAUGUGAGCUCCUGACUCCAGAGGCUCUCAGAUGACACCUACUGGCUCUCAAGGCUCUGGAUACACCUGAGGGACUCCUUAGGUCUUUGUAACUCAGUGUGAUACACCUAGUGUAAGGGUUAUGACUCAGGUCUUGGCUUUUCAAUUUAACAGUUGGGCAUUUGGUCAAGUUUUUAUGCUUUCACAUCCUCAGUUUCCUCAUUGAUGACACGGAUAUAGUAUGUGCUUUCCUGGUAUGACUUUGAAAAAGAAAUGAUAUAUAAAAGUCAGUGCUCAUGGUGA